GCACCCUUCGAGUACUUUCCUCACAAUAUCUGCACCAGCAGCUCCACUGAAUUGAGUUUUAGGUGGAGCUAUAGUUGAACUUGAAACUAGCUUAAUUAAUUAAUUAACCUCAUUACAUAAAAGGAAGGGAUGAGUUCAGAAUUCAACAGAACACCAAUCCUGCCUUACAGAACCGAUUGAUUUUCAGACUUUGAACAAUCAAUUCCCAUGAAUAUUAGAGAAAAACUAAUUAAUUAGAGGUCUG
rnacentral:misc_RNA from 1 species